rnacentral:rRNA from 1 species
AGGACUAACGCUGGCGGCGUGCCUAACACAUGCAAGUCGAACGAGGUAGCAAUACCUAGUGGCAGACGGGUGAGUAACGCGUGGUCAACCUACCUCUUAGUGGGGGAUAACUAGCCGAAAGGUUAGCUAAUACCGCAUACGAUCGUCGCGAGGCAUCUCGUGACGAUGAAAGGAGCAAUUCGCUAAGAGAGGGGGACUGCGUCCCAUUAGUUAGUUGGUGGGGUAAUGGCCCACCAAGACUCCGAUGGGUAGCUGGCUUGAGAGAGCGACCAGCCACACUGGAACUGAGACACGGUCCAGACUCCUACGGGAGGCAGCAGUGAGGAAUUUUCCGCAAUGGGCGCAAGCCUGACGGAGCGACGCCGCGUGUGGGAAGAAGGCCUUCGGGUCGUAACCACUGUCGAAGGGGACGAUAUUGACGGUACCCUUGGAGGAAGCCCCGGCUAACUACGCGCCAGCAGCCGC